AUUGCUUCUUGGCCUUUUGGCUAAGAUCAAGUGUAGUAUCUGUUCUUAGCAGUUUAACAUCUGAUAUGUCCUCUAUCCGAGGACAACAUAUUAAAGUGGGUUUUUGGAGCCGGGAUAUGGAAUAGGAGCUUGCUCCGUCUGCUCCGCAUCGACCUGGUAUUGCAGUACUUCCAGGAACAGUGCACCCCCU
ensembl:snRNA U2 U2 spliceosomal RNA